AAUGCAGGAUAGUGUGUAUCGACUGAAUGCUUAUUUACAAUGCAUUUUCUGUCGAAAGUGUUUCCUGCAAGAGCAAUCUGGGGCAAAUGGGCAGUUGGGACAAAACCUAAUUUUUGAUCGGGUGUCUCGACAAUCAUUUUCCUCAUAUGC